GACGAGGGAUGCUAGCGUUGUUCGGAAUCAUUGGGCGUAAAGCGCUUGUAGACGGCUAAACCAGUCAGGUGUGAAAUCCCUGGGCUCAACCCAGGACGUGCACUUGAUACUAUUUAGCUUGAAUGUCGGAGAGGCUCGUAGAAUUCCUGGUUUAGUGGUGAAAUACGUAGAUAUCAGGAGGAACACCGGUGGGGAAGCCGGCGGGCUGGCCGAACAUUGACGUUGAGAAGCGAAAGCGUGGGGAUCAAACAGG
rnacentral:rRNA from 1 species